AGACGAACGCUGGCGGCAGGCUUAACACAUGCAAGUCGAACGCUCGUAGCAAUACGGGAGUGGCAGACGGGUGAGUAACGCGUGGGAACAUACCCUCCGGUUCGGAAUAGCUCAGGGAAACUUGGAUUAAUACCGGAUACGGCCGAGAGGCGAAAGAUUUAUCGCCGGAGGAUUGGCCCGCGUUCGAUUAGCUAGUUGGUGAGGUAACGGCUCACCAAGGCGAUGAUCGAUAGCUGGUCUGAGAGGAUGAUCAGCCACAUUGGGACUGAGACACGGCCCAAACUCCUACGGGAGGCAGCAGUGGGAAUAUUGGACAAUGGGCGCAAGCCUGAUCCAGCCAUGCCGCGUGAGUGAUGACGGCCUUAGGGUUGUAAAGCUCUUUCGCUCGGGACGAUAAUGACGGUACCGAGAUAAGAAGCCCGGCUAACUCGUGCCAGCAGCCGC
rnacentral:rRNA from 1 species